AACAUUAAGAUAAAGAACUCUCCAGACUAUGAAAACGUGAAUAAGUAUAUCCUUACAGUGAAUGCAGUCAACAAUAAAUCUGCCCCUUUCUAUCAGGCAACUACUAAUGUCACUGUUCUAGUAAUUGAUGUGAAUGAUAAUGCUCCAGUAUUUGCUCAGAGUUCGUAUUCCGCUUCUAUAAACAUGAUUAAUCCAGUAGGUGCUCAUGUCAUAACUGUGCAUGCCACUGACAAAGAUCAGGGGCAAAAUGGCCUUAUUGAAUACUGCAUUAUCCCAGAUCUAAACUUCAGUGUAUUCUUCUUGAUAGAAGAUGAGAGUGAGGGGAAAAUAAUAACAACUGG
rnacentral:lncRNA from 1 species